rnacentral:rRNA from 1 species
AACGAACGCUGGCGGCAUGCCUAACACAUGCAAGUCGAACGAGACCUUCGGGUCUAGUGGCGCACGGGUGCGUAACGCGUGGGAACCUGCCCUUAGGUUCGGAAUAACUCCCCGAAAGGGGUGCUAAUACCGGAUAAUGUCUUCGGACCAAAGAUUUAUCGCCUUUGGAUGGGCCCGCGUUGGAUUAGCUAGUUGGUAGGGUAAAAGCCUACCAAGGCGACGAUCCAUAGCUGGUCUGAGAGGAUGAUCAGCCACACUGGGACUGAGACACGGCCCAGACUCCUACGGGAGGCAGCAGUGGGGAAUAUUGGUCGAUGGGCGAAAGCCUGAUCCAGCAAUGCCGCGUGAGUGAUGAAGGCCUUAGGGUUGUAAAGCUCUUUUACCCGGGAUGAUAAUGACAGUACCGGGAGAAUAAGCUCCGGCUAACUACGUG